GAGUGAACACAGCUCUUUUAGAAUUUUUCUAGCAGGAUUUCUGACUUUGGUCAGAAAAGUCCAAG
ensembl:snRNA U7 small nuclear RNA